GCAACCACCCAGCCUGGCCUCAUGGUUGAGGAUUUCUGCAUCAGCCAUGGGCUGGAGCUGACAGUGCUUUCACAGGGGGGCAGGCUGGGUGUUCCAUCUUUGCAGGACAUCCUUUGUGUGGCCCAGCCGUGAGACACUGCCUCACUGGGGAAGGUGUUUCUGCAUUAGAGAAAACAGACCAUCGAUGGCCAGCAAAUGAUGUUUCCUGUGGACACACUAGUGAACAAUAAAAGAGGAUCCUUGGGCUGCUGAGAUGAUUCAGUGGAUACAGCUGCUUUCUGCCAAGUGGGAUGACCUGAAUAUGAUCCCUGGAACCCACAUGGUGGAAGGAAGAGAACCAACUUCCACAAAGCUGUCCUCUGACUCCACACGUAUUCUGUGACACGCAGACGUGCACCCGCGCACAUGCAUGCAUGCAUGCAGAAGCAAUAAAGACUACUGUUUGAACGCUGUACUGUAGAAGGCACAGACUGAGAUGCUGCGUCAACUGCGCAUGCCUGUCUUUGUGACCGGCUGCUAUCGAUCCUUCCGAGCCCGUGUGCCACGCUGGAAAGCUGCAUCUAAGAGUACUCUCUUCCCCCAACUCAUAAUAAGGGAGAGCCUUGUCCUGUUGGUCCCCGCAG
ensembl:lincRNA Gm44868 predicted gene 44868